AUUUCAUCAGUCCUGCGUUCACCCCAGAUUUGCCAAUGUCCAUGUCUGGCCAUUGCGAAUCUCCUUCUCAGUAGUCUAGAAAUUCGCCUCAGUUUUCCCUCCACUCUGGCUCCUUCUGUUAAAAGAUCACAGCAGAACCUCAAAACCUGUCCUGCAGUUCCAGUUCAUAGCACCCUCUCCUCAAAGCAGACGGCUCAGAUGAAGUGCCUGGAAGGAGUCCCUGGGAAGCAGAUCUGUGUCCGGCAUUUUAUGAGAUUCUCUUGUACCCAGCCUGGCUUUGAACUUGCUAAGUAGCCAAGGAUCUCCCCAAGCUUCCAAUCCUACUGCUGAUGCCUCCUAAGGCUGAAUUGCCAAUUAUGACCAUGAGGAAAUGAAAGGUCGACACCUGGGGUGACCUGUCAAGGCCACAAACUACAGAAUGGAAGGGGGAGAACUUGAGCCCCAGCCACGUCUUCCACGUCUACUGUCAACCACUGUGCACUUCUUCCUAGUGACAAUGCUUCUGGAUCACUACAAAUAUCACCUACUCCAGUGUCUCCCACUCAGCCACUACAUCCAGGUACACAGCCCAGAGUCACCUUAGAAGAGAGUUUCAGAUGAGAAUUUGCAG
ensembl:lncRNA